GAGUUUCCGCAGAUGAGCCGCGGGAAAGGAGACGAGGGGCGGUGGCCAGGCGGUUGCCCUGACAACGGGGAACCGACCGACUCUUCCCGGUAGGGAGAGGCGAUGGCGGAAUUACUCCUCUAAUGUCAAGGUAUUCUAAUCACAGAAUUACUGGAGCAUCAAGAAGUGCCUGCAUGCUUGGAAGGGCUUCCAGGCAGAUGAACACACCUCAGCACCGGGUGGCAUUUUCCCAGGGUGCAACCCGGACCGGCUCUGGGUCACACUGACAAGCCUCUCCGACUCCCCAGGCUGGGUUGGGUGCUCCUCCCUCUCAUCCCACAGCGCUAUGUCUCAUGUCUUCUGGAAAACUUGCCAAUCCCUAGUGUAAGUGUGACUGGUCUAUUGUGAGCACCUAUUGUUCAGGGACCUCUGUUUACCUGAGGCCAGGACAAGGGCCUGGAAUGUGAGCAGGAGCAAGGGAGUGCUCGGGAAAUGGAAACAAUGAAUGAAUCAAUCAGUCAAUCAGACAACAGGGUUAACAAUUUCCAGAGACAGCCCGUACAUAGAAGGAAUGUUUACUGAAAAAAAUGAAGAGGGGUCAGGGCAAGGCGAGGAGCAAGAAGCACCCCCAAGGAAACAGAGAAGACCAGUACAACUGUACCUCUUUGCCAGCUGCACCAUCCGUACCAGUCUCCUGGGGUGGAAGUGUCCAGCACAGAGACUGCCACACUGCAAGACGAAGGGGCUGGACACACGGAAGAGAGAGGCGGAACCCUGCACCCCCUCAACCUCAGCCCUACUGAGUCUCCAAUGGGGCCACGCUUCUGAGUGCACCUCCCCGUGU
rnacentral:lncRNA from 1 species